rnacentral:rRNA from 1 species
UCUAGCGGCGGACGGGUUAGUAACGCGUGGGAACGUACCCUUUUCUACGGAAUAGCCUCGGGAAACUGAGAGUAAUACCGUAUACGCCCUUAGGGGGAAAGAUUUAUCGGUGAAGGAUCGGCCCGCGUUAGAUUAGAUAUUUGGUGGGGUAAUGGCCUACCAAGCUACGAUCUAUAGCUGUUUUGAGAGGAUGAUCAGCAACACUGGGACUGAGACACGGCCCAGACUCCUAC